rnacentral:rRNA from 1 species
ACGGCGCACGGGUGCGUAACACGUGGGCAAUCUGCCCUCCGAUGGGGAAUAACUCCGGGAAACCGAAGCAAAUUCCGCAUAACAUUCCCUGAACUCCGGUUUGGGGAAUCAAAGCAGCAAUGCGUCGGAGGAGGAGCCCGCGCCCGAUUAGCUAGUUGGUGAGGUAACGGCUCACCAAGGCUAUGAUCGGUAGCUGGUCUGAGAGGAUGGCCAGCCACACUGGAACUGAGACACGGUCUAGACUCCUACGGGAGGCAGCAGUGGGGAAUCUUGCGCAAUGGGCGAAAGCCUGACGCAGCGACGCCGCGUGGGGGAUGAAGCUUCUCGGAGUGUAAACCCCUUUCGACUGGGACGAAUGCCCGCAAGGGAGUGACGGUACCGGUAGAAGAAGCCCCGGCUAACUACGUGCCAGCAGCCGCGGUAAGACGUAGGGGGCCAGCGUUGUUCGGAAUUACUGGGUGUAAAGGGUUCGUAGGCGGUGUGGCAAGUCGGGAGUGAAAUCUUUGGGCUUAACUCAAAGGCUGCUUCCGA